rnacentral:rRNA from 1 species
UACGUAGGGUGCGAGCGUUAAUCGGAAUUACUGGGCGUAAAGCGUGCGCAGGCGGUUUUGUAAGCCAGAUGUGAAAUCCCCGGGCUUAACCUGGGAAUGGCAUUUGGGACUGCAAGGCUGGAGUGCGGCAGAGGAGACUGGAAUUCCUGGUGUAGCAGUGAAAUGCGUAGAUAUCAGGAGGAACACCGAUGGCGAAGGCGGCAUCCUGGACCGGUAUUGACGCUGAUGCGCGAAAGCCAGGGGAGCAAACGGG